GACGGAAGGUGCAAGCGUUGCUCGGAAUCACUGGGCGUAAAGGGUGCGUAGGCGGCCGUGCAAGUCUGGCGUGAAAGCCCCGGGCUCAGCCCGGGAAGUGCGCUCGAAACUGCGCGGCUCGAGUGCCGGAGGGGAGAGUGGAAUUCCUGGUGUAGCGGUGAAAUGCGUAGAUAUCAGGAGGAAUACCGAUGGCGAAGGCAGCCUUCUGGCCUAAUACUGACGCUGAGGUGCGAAAGCAUGGGGAGCAAACAGG
rnacentral:rRNA from 1 species